UUACAUACAAUGACUCUCGGCAACGGAUAUCUCGGCUCUUGCAUCGAUGAAGAACGUAGCGAAAUGCGAUACUUGGUGUGAAUUGCAGAAUCCCGUGAACCAUCGAGUCUUUGAACGCAAGUUGCGCCCGAAGCCAUUAGGCCGAGGGCACGCCUGCCUGGGUGUCACAC
rnacentral:rRNA from 1 species